AUUGAACGCUGGCGGCAGGCCUAACACAUGCCAGUCGAGCGGAUGAAGGGAGCUUGCUCCUGGAUUCAGCGGCGGACGGGUGAGUAAUGCCUAGGAAUCUGCCUGGUAGUGGGGGAUAACGUCCUGAAACGGGCGCUAAUACCGCAUACGUCCUGAGGGAGAAAGUGGGGGAUCUUCGGACCUCACGCUAUCAGAUGAGCCUAGGUCGGAUUAGCUAGUUGGUGGGGUAAAGGCCUACCAAGGCGACGAUCCGUAACUGGUCUGAGAGGAUGAUCAGUCACACUGGAACUGAGACACGGUCCAGACUCCUACGGGAGGCAGCAGUGGGGAAUAUUGGACAAUGGGCGAAAGCCUGAUCCAGCCAUGCCGCGUGUGUGAAGAAGGUCUUCGGAUUGUAAAGCACUUUAAGUUGGGAGGAAGGGCAGUAAGUUAAUACCUUGCUGUUUUGACGUUACCAACAGAAUAAGCACCGGCUAACUUCGUG
rnacentral:rRNA from 1 species